UACGAAGGGGGCUAGCGUUGUUCGGAAUCACUGGGCGUAAAGGGCGCGUAGGCGGCUUGGCAAGUGGAUGGUGAAAUCCCUCGGCUUAACCGAGGAACUGCCGUCCAAACUGCUUCGCUUGAGACCGGGAGAGGUGAGUGGAAUUCCCAGUGUAGCGGUGAAAUGCGUAGAUAUUGGGAGGAACACCAGUGGCGAAGGCGGCUCACUGGACCGGUACUGACGCUGAUGCGCGAAAGCGUGGGGAGCAAACGGG
rnacentral:rRNA from 1 species